AAGUUUUCGAGUCCUGACGUCAGGAUAAAACGGACUGGCCGGCGCAACAUAAGACGAUAGCAAGUCACGGACUUACUACAUCUUUUAGAUUGAGAGCGGUUAGUGGCGGACUGGUGAGUAACACGUAAGCAACCUGCCUAUCAAGAGGGGAAUAACAGUGAGAAAUCAUUGCUAAUACCGCAUAUGCUCACAGUAUCACAUGAUACAGUGAGGAAAGGAGUAAUCCGCUGGAUAGAUGGGCUUGCGUCUGAUUAGUUAGUUGGUGGGGUAACGGCCUACCAAGACUACGAUCAGUAGCCGGACUGGAGAGGUUGAACGGCCACAUUGGGACUGAGAUACGGCCCAGACUCCUACGGGAGGCAGCAGUCGGGAAUAUUGCGCAAUGGAGGAAACUCUGACGCAGUGACGCCGCGUAUAGGAAGAAGGUUUUCGGAUUGUAAACUAUUGUCAUUAGGGAAGAUAAAAGACUGUACCUAAGGAGGAAGCCCCGGCUAACUAUGUG
rnacentral:rRNA from 1 species